UUUCUAUGUUUUGUGGAAAACCCAUUCUCUAAAUAUCAUGAUAAUCCUGAAGCUCUUUUACUGAUAGUUGACUUUAGUAGAUUUCUUUAAUACAAAUAACAAUGUUUUACAUUUUCCUUGUAAAGAUCACAAGACCGAAGUUCUUACAUACCAGGUGAUCCAUUUAAUUGGGUACACGAAAUUAUCUCGGAAAUUAAUAACUUUUCCCGGAAUUUGUUUACCAGAAAAUUUAAGAAACAAGCUCCUUUACAAUUUUUAUAUUUAUGUUAUUUUUGUCACCCUUAUUUUUGGGAGUAAAAUUACUACCUACUUUUGAUUUUUAAUUGGCUA